AUAUGUUUAUCGGGGUGCCGCUUGCGGCUGAGAUUAUACCCAUUGAACCUGUCGGGUUAGGACCUGCGUAGGGAGUUAGCGUGUAAUUUUG
rfam:Faecalibacterium sp. CAG:1138 genomic scaffold, scf41